UUUAGUUCAACCUCCUUGCCAAGGUAGGGUCACCUAGCGCACAUUACACAGGAAUGUGUCCAGGUGGGUUUUGAAUGUCUCCAGAGAGGGAGACUCCAUGACCUCCUUGUGCAGCCUGUUCCAGUGCUCUGCCAUCCUAAACAUACAAAAGUUCCACCCUCAUGAGAGGUGAAAUUUCUUGCAUUUUAGUUUAUGGCCACUGCUCCUUGUCCUGUCACGGGGCACCACUGGAAAGAGUUUGGCACCGUCCUCUUGGCAUCUCCCUUUGAGAUAUUUAUAUGCGUUAAUGAGAUUCCUUCUCAGUCUUCUCUUGUCUAGACUACAUAGGCCCAGCUCCUGCAGCCUCUCCUCGUAAGAGGGACCAGAUCCCUCAUCAUUUUCGUAGCCCUCUGCUGGACCCUCUCCAGUAGAUCCUUGUCUUUCCCGUACUAAGGAGCCCAGAACUCCGGACGUGGCCUCACUGGGGCCGAGCAGAGGGGGAGGAUCACCUCCCUCGACCCGCUGGCCACACUCUUCUUCUUUAUAAGGAAAGGAAUAAAAAGAAACGCACAACAAAAACACCACCCAACACGAAGCCUCACUGCCCCGCAGCUCUGCCAAGGGCAACCCCGGCCCUGCCCCUCUGCACAUGCGCGGCCAUGGCCGCGGGGCCCGGGCAGCGGGGCGGUCCUGCCCCGUCGGGCCCUUCCUCGCCCCCGCCGCUCCCCGGCGGACGGCAGCGCCUGGACGGGCCAGGGGGAGGAGAGCGGCGAGCGGAGCCACCCAGGCACCCCCGCCCUGGCUCCGGCCCCCACCCCGGUCAUGGCCGCCGAGCACCCCCCGCGCGGCCCCCGCCCGCCUGGCACUGACCGAGCUCUCGAGGUGUACGCGCCCGCGCCGCCUCUGGAGGGUGGGAAGUGCCUUUGCUUCCGAGGCCAGGGAAGAAGGAACAGCAAUCUGAGAUUUUACAAGAUAAAUGCAACAGCAAGAAGUUACUAACAACGUUGGUUAUAAGCAAAGAGAAAACAGGUAGUAAAGCAAAAAGAAGAACCUCAAAGUUAUAAUAUGCCAGACACAAAUGUCACAUUGGGGUUGAAAUCAUGCUAGAUGAAUCUGUGUGAACUUGUUUUAUAGUCAGCCACUGGAUCCCUUAGCUCAAGAAGAAGGAAGAAAGAUAAUGAUUCAAUUAACUAAAACUGCUGCUUUGAAAAAUGUGUUUUCCAGUGUAAAACUUAUUUUAUUCAUCCCUAAUUAUAUAUUGCUGAAAACUGUUAACUGUGAUUAAGGAAAAAUAAGUCUGAGGUUUUGAGAGCAUGGCAGGUUUUUCCUACUGUAAGCUCCACAAUGAUCUUUUCCUAUACUAAUCCUAGAUGGUGUAUAUUUUCCUUUGUUUCUACCCAACUUUCCUUUUUAUUUGUAAUAUAUGUGUGAAAUGUUAUAAAAAUUAGUGCUUUAAGAGCAGUUAAGAUAUUACCACCUCAAAACCACAUCAUUGUUACAUACAGUUGUAUUUGUUUUGCUGAGUAGGUUCCAGCUCAGUUGCAGAAGAAGUUACAGAUAAUGCAAAAACACUGUCUUAGAGCAGCAGCUGUUGCUAUAGGCAGAUUGGCCAAAAGCCUGUCCCUAUAUUUCUUUACAUGGAAGCAAAGGGAUAGAUGUAUGUAUUGUCUGAAUAGAGAAAAUGAUGUUGUUGUAUGCCUGUGACAAAAAAUACAAUAGUAUUUUUUUUGAAAAGUAUACUUAUUUAUGGAUUUAAAAAAAUUGGAAUAUGCCAUAUAUUAAACUUGUAUUUGAUCAAGAUCAGUUGUUCUGGUAAUGUUCCUUCAGAGAUGAGAGUUUUAGUGACAGGGUAAAGAUACUUCUACAUCUGUGGAAUUUAAAGCCUGCUACUGUCAAGUUGCCAGGACCCUUAAAUGUCUUUCUCUCUUUUAGUAAAUCAAAAAUGUUUAUACUUACUGUCACAAGUAGUAGAAGAAUACCAACAAUUGCUUCUGUGUUUAGAAUUCUGUGGAGUCUGCUACCUGUGAGCAGACUCUGCUUAAAUUCUCUGAAACUACUAAUUGCUAACCUCAUUCUUGACAUACUUCAGCCUCCAACAGCCUGCUGAAACUUCUGUUACACCUUCUGGGAAUCUAUCUAUAGUAAUUUCUUUCUCUCCCCACAUGGCUCCAAGCCAGAAAUAUAUCCAUUUGCACAAAUGCUUCUUAACCUUGCUCACAGUUUUUUAAUUUUUUUUUUCUUUCUGCUUCUCUGGUUGCUGGAUGCUUUUCUAGUAAAUUCAGUACUUGCCAUGUUUGCUGUGUAAUGGACUGGUGGUUACAAUGCAUUUUCUAAACUACUGUUUGUUUCAGUUUUAGUGCACUGAAUAAAAUUAUUUCUCUGUUGUCAUUUUA